rnacentral:rRNA from 1 species
AGCGUAGACGGUUGUGCAAGUCUGGAGUGAAAGGCGGGGGCCCAACCCCCGGACUGCUCUGGAAACUGUUUAGCUAGAGUUCUGUAGAGGGGGGUAGAAUUCCAGGUGUAGCGGUGAAAUGCGUAGAGAUCUGGAGGAAUACCGAUUGCGAAGGCAGCCCCCUGGACAGUGACUGACGCUCAAAUGCGAAAGCGUGGGGAUCAAACAGGAUUAGAUACCCUUGUA